AGCGAACGUUUGCGGCGGGCCUAACACAUGCAAGUCGAACGGGUUAGCAAUAACCAGUGGCGCACGGGUGCGUAACACGUAGGUAAUCAACCCCUUGGUUCGGGAUAACGUUCUGAAAGGAGCGCUAAUACCGGAUCCGUCGUCGGGAGCUUCGGCUUCUGGCGAGAAAGACCCUCAAGGGUUGCCGAGGGACGAGCCUGCGGCCCAUCAGCUAGUUGGCGAGGUAAGAGCUCACCAAGGCGAAGACGGGUAGCUGGUCUGAGAGGAUGAUCAGUCACACUGGAACUGAGACACGGUCCAGACUCCUACGGGAGGCAGCAGUGGGGAAUAUUGCGCAAUGGGCGAAAGCCUGACGCAGCCACGCCGCGUGAGCGAUGAAGGCCUUCGGGUCGUAAAGCUCUGUGGGGAGAGACGAAGAAAGCCGGUGAAGAGCCGGCCUUGACGGUAUCUCCUUAGCAAGCACCGGCUAACUCCGUGCCAGCCGCCGC
rnacentral:rRNA from 1 species